ACCCGGCCAUCCCCACCCUUUUCCCGAGCAUCCUUAAAGCAGAGCAGUGAUGCUGCUACUGGACGAUGCCAUGUCUCAAAGAUAUUUCAAAGAAUAAGAAACCCAUAACCAUUUCAACAUGCGAGAUACAGAGCGAAUAUCUUUCUUACAAUGGCGAGUUGCCGACCAUGUCCCCGCAUUCUAAGUUUCUAACGGUUGUCAGCUCCUAAUUCCAGUCCAGCAGGCGUCCUGAGAAACGGAAAUCCCCCUCUCAUUCCGUGGCGCCGCCGAAUCCAAACAGAGGCAUUCUUCGUGUAGCCUUCGUUCACUUCAGACCACACCGCUUGUCAUCGAGUCGAGACCAGCAUGUUCUUUCCUCACAUGCUGACGGGGCAGGCAGCGCCGGAGGCCCGCAAGGAAGGGUGGGUCCGCGCUUCAGCUCCGAUGCGUCGUCAUUCACGACGAUCGAGCUGCUGCUUCACGGGUUCACUCAGCGCAGCCGAGGGAGAACCUUGGCGCUGGUCCGAAAUCACUGUCUCUCCCAUCUAGGGAGCGAAAUGGUAGCACUUAAAGUCGUGCAUGCUGGGGGUGACAUUCGCCUCACACUAGGUCGCACUGCUUGGUGGUUGUGGAAGAUGCGUCAAUAGAACAAGCAAAGGAGGGCAAGUACCUUCAAUGAUUUGUUUGGCAAGGGUAAGAUCAGCACUGUGGUAGCAAAGCAGUAACCGCUGCCAGGUCCGUUUUCAAGCAUCUCUUGAGUUCAUUAAUACGGCUCAUUACAUUAUUAUUGUCUCUCUCUUCCUUUUUUUUUUUGUCAAAGCCAAUCAACUGCAGAAACGCUUGAAAACUUGACUUUUGCAAAGCUGGUACCUUCCGUUGUUGCAGUUAGGGAAUACCUUAUAUGAAGGUCUAUCUAUUCUUACCUUGUGUUGAUAGGUUCUUUCUAAAUCUGAGGUAGAUAUUUGAUUUGUGCUGGUAGGCUGGUAAGGUUUCAACCGAAAGGAGAACUGAAUUAAUAGGUUUCUGAGUAAUGCAUAGUACAUUAUUGUACAAGUGUGGCCCAAUUUAUUGAGGCCCAUGCUUAAGAAAGUUGCCUCUCCUUUUCCAUUAGAAAACUGAAGGGAAUUAUCAGUAAAGAUAAGGCUCUGUCAUAGUUUAAUGCUGCAAAUGGUACCUGCUGCGUGAGAAUCAAACUAUAAAACUGGGCUGGCCCAAAGCUCUCCACCUACAUUAGGGAAUCUGAUCUCACUAUCCUGACAACUAUAAAUAAAUGGUUCAGUAAGGACAAAAACCUAUGAUAUGCCGACAAUCUUUUGUGCUUGACAUUCUUUUAUCACCACUUGUUGAUUUAUCUAUUCCCUGGAGUAGAUUCUUGCUCUUUCUAUCUGUUGCAAUGCCCUGUUUUUUUUCCUUGAUCCAAGUGUGUAUCCUCUUGCUACUUUUGGCAAAAAAAUGCCUGUUCUAAUACUUAAACUAAUGAAGAUAUAGAAAAGAUAUACUUAGGCUAAUGAUUGUAUCAUUUGUUGGGCAUAGCUAGCACGAAAGACUUCUAGACUUCUCAAUGCUAUAAACAAACACUGUGUGAGACAAUGUGCCUCCAUUUUACUACUCAAGUGCAAAAUUAUCCAUCUGACAGUUCCACUUCCACUAUGGUAUUAUGUUCCCUUUUAUCCCCUCUUUUUUUUUGUUCUAGCGUUCUUUCAAAUAUUAUCCGCCAAACAUGAGAUUGACUGACCAGUUUUAGAAUGUAUAUGCAAAAUGCUUCUGGAAAUGUUCCUGAAAAAGGAAAACAUUUUCAAACAUGCUUUUCUUUGAUUUAAUCGUCUGUUAUUCUCUUGAUAAACGAUCAAACUGUAGUAUUAUGACACUUGCACGGCAAUGAUUAGACCAAAAGUGAAAGCUGUAACUAGAUGAGUCUCCAUCAGGUCAUACCUAUGCCAGAUGUACUCAUUACUCCCUUUAAAUCUAACAUUAUAGAAAUGCUUAAUACAACUUAUUUUAUAGUAAUGCUUUGCUUACUAUAAACAAGAGUGCUGAUCUCAUUGCCAUUCUGACAUCAUGGUUUAUUAAUAGUAGUACUCCAUUUGUCAUUAGUUUAUGGCACGUACACAUCUCUAGGCUUUCUUGGAACUUUAAGAUUGGCAUUAUAAAACUACUCUUGUCAAAUGGUUGAAUGAUGAGUAUGAUGGAGAUUUGAAAGUGAGAGAUUUCUGCUUUUGUUUGUCUUAGCUCCUGACCCUGCUUUUCGCAGUCUUGGUGGCAACUUAAAAACUAGCCAUGUUUCAAGUUCCAACUUCAAGUUCUAUCCUCUCAAAGAAAGAGGGGAAUCUUCCAAGUUCCAAAAACCAUGGGGCUUUGCUAAUACACAGAACUCAUCCAAGCUGUUUAAAAUUGUCCAGGGACUCCAUACAAUUUGGCAAGAUACUAUUUAUUUUCUCUGAGCAUUCAGAAACCUUAUUACGUGCCAGUUGCUUUACAUUCAAUUGCAACAAUCAGAUGAGACAUGAGUUAAACCAGACAAAGAGAUGGGUUUUUCAGUUGCAUCAACCCAAAGGCAAAAAGAUGAGGUUGAUUUGAGAUGAUAGAUGCUGAAUGGCUGAUUGGUUGCAGAGAUAAGUCACAUUUAUAUACGUCAUUUUUGAAAUUUUCAUCCAGUCAAUAAUGGACAGUUCCACUGAAGCUAGGCUUAGAGCACUGGAGCAGGUGAUGGGGAUUGAACACUCAUCUGGUUUUAUUUUGGGUACUUGAUUUUAUUUUUCACAGUCAUGGGCGGUGGAGUAGCGUCAGAUAAGCUUCCGGUUUCACUUUCAUGCGUAUGUUCAUCUGCUGCCCGACUUUUGCUCAAUCCUGAUUUUUGGUGCUGUCUAUUUGCUCAACAGUCUCGUGAAAGAAAAUUUUCUAUAUAGAUUAAUUUUCAGAAUGCGAAAGGCCCAUUUUGAUUUGACCUCUUGAGAGGAAUGUGAACGUGAGCGCGUAUUUCAUCAGAUUUCUCAGUCGAGUGCAGCUUCAUACCAAACAAAUGAAACAAUGCAUUCAUGUUGUGCGUGUUUGUUGCUAGAAAGGUGAAAAGAAGACAAUGAAGGUCUCAAGGUCGAAGUCACUGUCCAUCAGAGCUGCUUUUUGAUAAAAUAUGAAGUGGGGAAUUUCUCAGUAACAAUCCACGUGAUGUUACCCUGAGCAGAAAUUCAGACCAGCAUCAGAAACCAGAUUUCAAAUAUUUGCUGGACCCAAUUGCGAUAUCCAGGAGGCAGUUGGUGCUUCCAAGGAGGCAGUUUGUGGUCCUGGUGAAAAACCGUUUGUGGUCCUAGCUCACCAACAGUCCUACUCUAUUUCAGCACAGAUGAUCCCCAGGACAGCCAUCUUUUUAUCUUUGGAUGCCAUCAAUCAUCUAAACUUGCCACAUCUGGAUGCUUUUGCUGGCUCUGAGGUCUUGAGCUCACUGGCCAACCACAAGUCCCCGAGACUGUUUAGCCCCUCCUUGGCUCCAGGCAGCACAGCUUUGAAUGUGUGGUGGUAUUUUGGAACUUGGAAGGGAAAGCUAUAGCUUAGCUCUGCAAUGGGAACAGUACCUCAAGUACUAUUCCCAGCUUUAGUAGUGUUAGGUACUGAAUAAUCAGGUUGCUUCGCUUUAUUUUAUGGUACUCCUAUAAUGAAUAUUCCCUUCCUUUUAUCUCUCGCCUUUCCAUGACUAUGGUGGUAUUUAGAACUAUGAUAUAUCAUGAUGAGCAAGUUUAAUUAUUAUGCCCUGCAUUGACACAAUUUUUCUUCUUCUAGGAUCUGUCUAGAGGGAGUAUCUAGCAAUCCAAGACAUUUAGAAUUUACAUUUAAGGCCUCGUUAGGAACACAAGGAAUUUAUAAGAGAUGGCAUUAUUCUCACAGGAAACCCUAUACCUACCGCCUUUUGAGUGAAAAAAGUAACCAAUGCUGUUUUGCUUGAUGGGGGCACACAUAUUUAAAUCCAUAACAUAGCAUUUUUCGGUCAUCAAAGAGACAAUCACCUUACCGCGAGAACAAAAAUAGAGUAAGGAGGUGGGGAACACCUGCAACAGGGAAAGGAAACAAGCAAGUCUAGUUCCAAUUUAAUUGAACGAGGUCGUGAGCUCGGGUCAGCUGCACUGUUUGAGCACAAACUCACAUGCCUCCUCUUCCUUCUGUCCUUCGCUCGCCAAGAAUCACCGUACAAUGUACAAUAGCUACGGGACCCAAUGUGUAUUUGACCAUAUUUUGGCUCUCAUAUCACUAGUACUAUCUUGCUUUCCGGCAGUUUUUAUUAAUAUCUUCUC